rnacentral:ncRNA from 2 species
UGCACUCUCAAUCUCCGAGCAUGACAACCUACGAGGAAGGUCCUUAUGGUUGCCAAGCCGACGGGUUCCGUUGGAAACAACGGUGCCUCCCACCUUUGGAAAGGAGAUUUUUCCCGGAACCG